CCUACGGGAGGCAGCAGUAGGGAAUCUUCCACAAUGGGCGAAAGCCUGAUGGAGCAACGCCGCGUGGGUGAAGAAGGUCUUCGGAUCGUAAAACCCUGUUGUUAGAGAAGAAAGUGCGUGAGAGUAACUUUUCACGUUUCGACGGUAUCUAACCAGAAAGCCACGGCUAACUACGUGCCAGCAGCCGCGGUAAUACGUAGGUGGCAAGCUUUAUCCGGAUUUAUUGGGCGUAAAGGGAACGCAGGCGGUCUUUUAAGUCUGAUGUGAAAGCCUUCGGCUUAACCGGAGUAGUGCAUUGGAAACUGGGAGACUUGAGUGCAGAAGAGGAGAGUGGAACGCGAUAUGUAGCGGUGAAAUGCGUAGAUAUAUGGAAGAACACCAGUGGCGAAAGCGGCUUUCUGGUCUGUAACUGACGCUGAGGUUCGAAAGCGUGGGUAGCAAACAGGAUUAGAUACCCGUGUAGUC
rnacentral:rRNA from 1 species